CUAUAAUUAUCAGAGUAAACAAACAAAUGAUUUUUACUUUGCUAUUUUGGAAAAAUAUUGACAACAAUUUUGGAUGAUAUUAAAUUGAGUUUUUCGAAAAUAUUGAAGAUAUAUAUAAGGUAAAUUUUAAGUUAUAGUAGAAUGACAAAAUCUAAACAAUUGAUUGCUGUAGUUUCAAAAUUAUAGAGCAAUUAGAAAAAAUUGUAAUAUAGAAAGAUGAAAUCACGGAAAUUGAUAUUAAAGAAGGGACACAAAAUUUGAAGAAAAAGUGCAAGAUAUUCAUACAGAGAUAUUAGCAGAGUUGAGAAAAAUUAACCAACAUUUGGAUAAUGUUGAAUCAAUUUUAUUUAGUUACACAUCUCUUAAAUAAAAUACUAAUGUAUCUGUCUUUUCAAUCUCCACCAUAGAAGAGGAUUUAUACAAUUUAAUAAUCUGAACGAUGAAACAUACAAGUCAUGUAUGCUGUGUAUAGAUAUUUUUCCAUUCCAAGAGCGGAAUAUGAGGCGAAGAUAAAAAUUAUCAUGAAUACGGCGAGAUAUAAAAAUUGGAUUCAAUUAAUUAAAAAAAUAAAAACAACGCAUGGAGAAAGAUAAAGAAGACUGUGUUUGUCUCAAUUGGAUUCAAUUGUAAAUACUGCUAGAAGAAUUUAUAAAUUCAAGAUCUUGCCAUAAGCAAAAUAAGGAGAAGUAAAAAACUGAAUGUAAGAAUCAAAAAUAUUUCGAUUUUUAAAAAUCUUUCUUUUCUUAGAAAAAAGAAAGAUUUACCUACAGAAAUUUAUUUAUUUUUUUUUUUUUUUGCUUACACUGAAAAAAAAAUUAAAAUCUGUUUUUUAUUUCAGUAAUUUUUACCUUAAAACAAAAGCAUUGUUAAGCACGGCAAUUGUUAUUGAAAAAAAGAUUAAUUUUAACAUUAGUUUUGAUCAAAAUUACAUUUUUUUUUGAAAGUAAAAAUUAACCUCUUUUUCCAGUAAAAAUUGCCUCGCUUGCAUUGCUUUUGUACUAAGGUAAAAAUUACAGAAAUAAAAUGCAAAUUUUGUGUAUAUUUUUUUUUCAGUGUAAUUGUUAAACAAUUAUAAAAAAAAGAGAGGAAUCUUCUAAAAGCCAUUUGAUAAUAAUGUUCAUAUCAAAAAGAAAAACUUGACUAAUAACAAACCGAAAAUAUUUUACUAUUUUUUCAAUGUAAUUAAAUUCAGUAAUUAAUAAUAGUUUAUAAUUUCAAGAGUAAGAGAUUCUAUAUUCAUUUUAAUUUAAUAUUUCAUUGCAUGUAAAAAAUAUAUAUAUAUAUAUGUAUAUAAAAAUUAAGGUGUGUGAAAUUAGUUCACAAAACAUUCACCGGAAGUCGAUCAAAAUUUUGACUUUAAACACAAAUUUUAUCGGAUUUUUAUUAUUACUGUGCUCUAUUUUUAUGUAAUAACUAGAAAAUAAAUUGAAAAAAAGCACUAUAAUCGUUAAUAGUAAUAAUAAAUAAUUGUUAUAAUUUAAA